rnacentral:tRNA from 1 species
GCUCAAAUAGUUUAAUUUGAAAAACGCUAAUGUGUGGAGUUAGAAAUAUUUGGGAUUUCUGGGUAUAUGUUUGUGCG